AGUUAAGCAUAAGUAUGUGCCAUGCAAUAUUUGGAACAUACUUAUAUUAAAA
rnacentral:pre_miRNA from 1 species